rnacentral:rRNA from 1 species
ACGUAGGUGGCAAGCGUUGUCCGGAUUUACUGGGUGUAAAGGGCGUGUAGGCGGAGGUGCAAGUCAGAAGUGAAAUCCACGGGCUUAACUCGUGAACUGCUUUUGAAACUGUACCCCUUGAGUAUCGGAGAGGCAGGCGGAAUUCCUAGUGUAGCGGUGAAAUGCGUAGAUAUUAGGAGGAACACCAGUGGCGAAGGCGGCCUGCUGGACGACAACUGACGCUGAGGCGCGAAAGCGUGGGGAGCAAACAG